rnacentral:rRNA from 1 species
UUAAGUUAGAAAGGGCGCACGGUGGAUGCCUUGGCACUAGGAGCCGAUGAAGGACGGGACGAACACCGAUAUGCUUCGGGGAGCUGUAAGCAAGCUUUGAUCCGGAGAUUUCCGAAUGGGGAAACCCACCACUCGUAAUGGAGUGGUAUCCAUAUCUGAAUACAUAGGAUAUGAGAAGGCAGACCCGGGGAACUGAAACAUCUAAGUACCCGGAGGAAGAGAAAGCAAAUGCGAUUCCCUGAGUAGCGGCGAGCGAAACGGGACCAGCCCAAACCAAGAGGCUUGCCUCUUGGGGUUGUAGGACACUCUGUACGGAGUUACAAAGGAACGAGGUAGAUGAAGAGGUCUGGAAAGGCCCGCCAUAGGAGGUAACAGCCCUGUAGUCAAAACUUCGUUCUCUCCUGAGUGGAUCCUGAGUACGGCGGAACACGUGAAAUUCCGUCGGAAUCCGGGAGGACCAUCUCCCAAGGCUAAAUACUCCCUAGUGACCGAUAGUGAACCAGUACCGUGAGGGAAAGGUGAAAAGCACCCCGGAAGGGGAGUGAAAGAGAUCCUGAAACCGUGUGCCUACAAGUAGUCAGAGCCCGUUAACGGGUGAUGGCGUGCCUUUUGUAGAAUGAACCGGCGAGUUACGAUCCCGUGCAAGGUUAAGCAGAAGAUGCGGAGCCGCAGCGAAAGCGAGUCUGAAUAGGGCGAAUUGAGUACGUGGUCGUAGACCCGAAACCAGGUGAUCUACCCAUGUCCAGGGUGAAGUUCAGGUAACACUGAAUGGAGGCCUGAACCCACGCACGUUGAAAAGUGCGGGGAUGAGGUGUGGGUAGGGGGUGAAAUGCCAAUCGAACCUGGAGAUAGCUGGUUCUCUCCGAAAUAGCUUUAGGACUAGCCUCAAGGUAAGAGUCUCGGAGGUAGAGCACUGAUUGGACUAGGGGCCCCUACCGGGUUACCGAAUUCAGUCAAACUCCGAAUGCCGAUGACUUAUCCUUGGGAGUCAGACUGCGAGUGAUAAGAUCCGUAGUCGAAAGGGAAACAGCCCAGACCGCCAGCUAAGGUCCCAAAGUAUACGUUAAGUGGAAAAGGAUGUGGAGUUGCUUAGACAACCAGGAUGUUGGCUUAGAAGCAGCCACCAUUUAAAGAGUGCGUAAUAGCUCACUGGUCGAGUGACUCUGCGCCGAAAAUGUACCGGGGCUAAACGUAUCACCGAAGCUGCGGACUGUUCUUCGAACAGUGGUAGGAGAGCGUUCUAAGGGCUGUGAAGCAAGACCGGAAGGACUUGUGGAGCGCUUAGAAGUGAGAAUGCCGGUAUGAGUAGCGAAAGAGGGGUGAGAAUCCCCUCCACCGAAUGCCUAAGGUUUCCUGAGGAAGGCUCGUCCGCUCAGGGUUAGUCGGGACCUAAGCCGAGGCCGAAAGGCGUAGGCGAUGGAUAACAGGUUGAUAUUCCUGUACCACCUCCUCACCAUUUGAGCAAUGGGGGGACGCAGGAGGAUAGGGUAAGCGCGGUAUUGGAUAUCCGCGUCCAAGCAGUUAGGCUGGGAAAUAGGCAAAUCCGUUUCCCGUGAAGGCUGAGCUGUGAUGGCGAGCGAAUUAUAGUAGCGAAGUUCCUGAUUCCACACUGCCAAGAAAAGCCUCUAGCGAGGUGAGAGGUGCCCGUACCGCAAACCGACACAGGUAGGCGAGGAGAGAAUCCUAAGGUGAUCGAGAGAACUCUCGUUAAGGAACUCGGCAAAAUGACCCCGUAACUUCGGGAGAAGGGGUGCUCUGUUAGGGUGCAAGCCCGAGAGAGCCGCAGUGAAUAGGCCCAGGCGACUGUUUAGCAAAAACACAGGUCUCUGCGAAGCCGUAAGGCGAAGUAUAGGGGCUGACGCCUGCCCGGUGCUGGAAGGUUAAGAGGAGCGCUUAGCGUAAGCGAAGGUGCGAAUUGAAGCCCCAGUAAACGGCGGCCGUAACUAUAACGGUCCUAAGGUAGCGAAAUUCCUUGUCGGGUAAGUUCCGACCCGCACGAAAGGCGCAACGAUCUGGGCACUGUCUCAACGAGAGACUCGGUGAAAUUAUAGUACCUGUGAAGAUGCAGGUUACCCGCGACAGGACGGAAAGACCCCGUGGAGCUUUACUGCAGCCUGAUAUUGAAUGUUGGUACAGCUUGUACAGGAUAGGUAGGAGCCUUGGAAACCGGAGCGCCAGCUUCGGUGGAGGCAUCGGUGGGAUACUACCCUGGCUGUAUUGACCUUCUAACCCGCCGCCCUUAUCGGGCGGGGAGACAGUGUCAGGUGGGCAGUUUGACUGGGGCGGUCGCCUCCUAAAAGGUAACGGAGGCGCCCAAAGGUUCCCUCAGAAUGGUUGGAAAUCAUUCGCAGAGUGUAAAGGCACAAGGGAGCUUGACUGCGAGACCUACAAGUCGAGCAGGGACGAAAGUCGGGCUUAGUGAUCCGGUGGUUCCGCAUGGAAGGGCCAUCGCUCAACGGAUAAAAGCUACCCCGGGGAUAACAGGCUUAUCUCCCCCAAGAGUCCACAUCGACGGGGAGGUUUGGCACCUCGAUGUCGGCUCAUCGCAUCCUGGGGCUGUAGUCGGUCCCAAGGGUUGGGCUGUUCGCCCAUUAAAGCGGUACGCGAGCUGGGUUCAGAACGUCGUGAGACAGUUCGGUCCCUAUCCGUCGCGGGCGCAGGAAAUUUGAGAGGAGCUGUCCUUAGUACGAGAGGACCGGGAUGGACGCACCGCUGGUGUACCAGUUGUUCUGCCAAGGGCAUCGCUGGGUAGCUAUGUGCGGACGGGAUAAGUGCUGAAAGCAUCUAAGCAUGAAGCCCCCCUCAAGAUGAGAUUUCCCAUUCCGCAAGGAAGUAAGAUCCCUGAAAGAUGAUCAGGUUGAUAGGUCUGAGGUGGAAGUGUGGCGACACAUGGAGCUGACAGAUACUAAUCGAUCGAGGACUUAACCAA